AGCGAACGCUGGCGGCAGGCUUAACACAUGCAAGUCGAGCGGGCACUUCGGUGUCAGCGGCAGACGGGUGAGUAACACGUGGGAACGUACCCUUCGGUUCGGAAUAACGCUGGGAAACUAGCGCUAAUACCGGAUACGCCCUUAUGGGGAAAGGUUUACUGCCGAAGGAUCGGCCCGCGUCUGAUUAGCUAGUUGGUGGGGUAAUGGCCUACCAAGGCGACGAUCAGUAGCUGGUCUGAGAGGAUGAUCAGCCACACUGGGACUGAGACACGGCCCAGACUCCUACGGGAGGCAGCAGUGGGGAAUAUUGGACAAUGGGCGCAAGCCUGAUCCAGCCAUGCCGCGUGAGUGAUGAAGGCCUUAGGGUUGUAAAGCUCUUUUGUCCGGGACGAUAAUGACGGUACCGGAAGAAUAAGCCCCGGCUAACUUCGUG
rnacentral:rRNA from 1 species